CAAAUAGACUGUAUUUAUUUUUAUUCAAACAGAAGCAUUUACUGAAAUAUGAAUCUCAUUAAGUAACUGUUUUUUUUUUAUUAGAUUUCUUGCGCUCAAGCAGACUUUGCGUGUAUGUGUGUGUGUCGGCGGCUGAUUGAAGGCCCAUGAAAUAUUUAUCAUCAAAAGUUUGGAUUUAUAGGAAAAAUCUGGAGUCCCUCCACCCGCCCUCCACCCUGCUGAAGCCUGGUUUUAAAGAGCGCAUAGCUGUGACAACGAGCGGCUUUAAUUAGCGCGGACGGGCGAGGCGAGCCUGUCGGGCCACCGUCGUCCCCAGAAUCAAUAGCGGGGAAAGCGAAGCGCUCCCAGCUCCCGGGGCCUACCGGUGCGCGCACGCACACCUACAUGCAUGCACACCCGCGUGCUACUGCUGCCAACACGGCUAUGAAAACCCAUGAAAAAGGCAAAGCUGUUGGAGAAUAGGCGGAUCAAAACCCAUUAUGAGAUUUGAAACUCUUUUUUUCCCCCUCCUGUGUGUGUUUCUUGUGUCGCCCUUUGGUUUAAAAUGUCUCUCUAGAUUGGGAUAUUUGUGCAAGAGCAAACUGUUGGAUGCUCUCAAAGCUAUUUUUCUUCUUCUUCCUCUUCUUUGUGUGUGUCUGUGUCUUUUUUUUUGGUUGGAAUCCAUAAACGCAACGUAAACGCACAAGUGUGGGAUUUGUUGCAGAGGAACCUCGAUUGUUCCUGCCUGUGCUGAAGGUCUUAUCUCGGCGAGUCACGUGACUUACUCUUUGGGUUUUUUUUUUUUUUAUGCAGAGGAGCACAGGAACUGCAUGCAUAAUGAGCGCGUGCAAUAGGUAGGCCAAACUAGAACCUCGCGGUAUUUUAUUUUUAUUUUAUUUUAAUGUUUACUGUCUCAUAAGCACGCCCACAUAUUUAUUUAUUUAUUUGUAAUUUAAACACAAUUAAACAAGCAGCCCGGCACCUUUUAAAAUAUUUUAAUUAAUUAUAUUAUUUUUUAAAAGGCAAAAAUGCACGAGAGAGGGUGUAAAGUUUUUUUUUUGUUUGUUUUGUUUUUGCUGGCUUCACGUGCAGCAGCGUGCCUCCUCUGCUGCCACUUUUACUAAUGGAGACAAAGAAAAAUGAUGCCCACUUCUCUCUAUAUCAUUGAAUUCAGUUGCUAAGCAACUAGUAUAGGGAAAUCAUCCGCGAAAUUCAAAAUCCUGCAGCGCGAGGACACGUUUGGUGAGUUUUUGCUGAAUAGGCGAGCAAGACAACUCCAGAAAAAAAAG
ensembl:lncRNA